UAGAAAGCUUUAAAAUUUCUCUCUCCCCUCUCUUUGUAUGAACUGAUUGAAUGCUUUGAAGAACAUCAAGAACACAGUGUGAUUGAUAAGAUGGCCAAAGCCCAAAGCUUUGUGUACUUUCUCUCGUCUCAAAAGCUUUCAUUUUUUUUUUUUUUUUUUGUUUCUGUUUCUGUUUAUGUUCUUCCAAUGACCAUUUUAUGGCGAAAUGUUGUAUCUGCUUCAUGUUUGUGACCAUAAUUAUGCAAAAAAGAAGAAGAAAAGUUUGCUUUUUUGGUCAUCUUUUUACCCAAAACCCUAAUUUAUUAAGAACAUCCAUAUGGGUGUGUGAGAAUUUUGAUACUUUUUGACAUUUUUGGCAAAUUUCCUCAUCUGGGUUUCUAGAUUUUAGUGAUUUGAUUCGACCCAUUUGGCCAAAAUUUGAUCUUUGAUGUUGUUGUUGUUGUUCUCGAGGAAUGGUGUUUGUAGAAUCGAAGUUGACAGAAGAGAGUGAGCACACAGAGGCUUUUGGUAUAAUAAUAUGCCAUUGCUCUUGCGUGCUCACUUCUCUGCCUGUCAGCUUCCAUCGCCAAUUCCUUCUUUUUUCCUCCCCAAAUACUCAAUUUUCUUCCUUUUUUUUUUGUCUAAUUUUUGUUCAUUGUUCAUAUAUGCUUCAAUUAUGAUGGUUCAUGUGAGAAUUGAGAUGGGUUUUGUGAUGUUGAGAUGUAAAUCAAAUUUUUGGGCUCAAUAAUUCUCAUUCAAUUGGUUUUGAUCUGAAAGUGGAAACCUAAGUCCAUGUCUUGUUGUUGUUGUUCUUGUUCUUCUUUGGUUCUUUUGUUUGAGGUUUAGAACAGAAGCUAAUGGGGGAGGAUCUACAAAAGAAAAGCACAAGAUGAUUCAUUUAUGCAGGUUUUGUCAACAAUGAAACUGGUAAUUUUAAAUGUUUUAUGUUUUAAGACAGCCGUACGUCAAUUGCAGUGACAAAAAAAUAUUAUUAGUGGGAUCUUUUUUUUUUCUUGCUUAAUUUUGGAAAUUAAUUAUGACUUCAUUGACUGCUUAUAUAUCUCCUUUUGUUUUGGUCUUGUUCAUCAUUUUCAUUUUGGUUGGAGGUUGAAUCUCGGACACAUCGAGCUUGAAUAACUAUAGAUUAUAUAAGUCAGGUCGUUUGAGAGAUUGGCGUUUGUGGUAUAUAUUACUAGUUACAGUCUACAAGCUUGUGCAAGCUCGAGACUUAUAUGGUGGAUAAGCAAGGACAAUGAAAUAUCGAUCCCUGAAUAACGGAUGGAGGUCAUCUCAAACCCCCUCGCCCCAUCUCAACGAGGAUGAAACUGAAGGAGACGGGAAUUAGUACAUCAAAUGGGCAUUGAGUUGAGCAUUCAUCUAAAAAGGAUUAUUGAUUUUUGGACUUCCACACUCAGAUAAGUAGUAGCAUUUGAUCAUAAAAUCCUGCCAAGGAGGAGCUCAAGAACCGAGAAGACGAUGGAAGAACACAUAAUCUCAUCGGUUCGUGCUAACAUAAUCACAGACAUUAGAAGUAUGGAUGAAAUUGCAGUAUAAACAACCAAUGAGAGUGAAGUUUGAAGCUCCAAACAAGAGAAUAAGAUGUGUAAACAUAUGAUGUAAUGUAUGAAAAUGGCCUAUAAGUAGUAGGGCAUCCAAAAGUGCACUGCUUUAUACUUUAUACUUACUGAGCUUUAGCAGUAAAUGUGCACUGCCAUCUCCAACCCUGAUAAACAGUUAACAUGAGAAUCAUUUCUUA